rnacentral:tRNA from 1 species
GGAGAGGUGGCUGAGUGGUUGAAAGCGACGGUCUUGAAAACCGUUGAGGGCAUUCCCCUCCCAGAGUUCGAAUCUCUGCCUCUCCGCCA